GGUGCAUGGUUGUCGUCAGCUCGUGUCGUGAGAUGUUGGGUUAAGUCCCGCAACGAGCGCAACCCUUGUCUUUAGUUGCCAUCAUUAAGUUGGGCACUCUAGAGAGACUGCCAGGGAUAACCUGGAGGAAGGUGGGGAUGACGUCAAAUCAUCAUGCCCCUUAUGCUUAGGGCUACACACGUGCUACAAUGGGUAGUACAGGGGGUUGCCAAGCCGUAAGGUGGAGCUAAUCCCUUAAAGCUACUCUCAGUUCGGAUUGUAGGCUGAAACUCGCCUACAUGAAGCUGGAGUUACUAGUAAUCGCAGAUCAGA
rnacentral:rRNA from 1 species